UUUAUUGGAACUGGAAUGAAAGGCUCAACAAACACAUAAUUUUUUAUUUUUAGAUGUUAUAAUUUUUAAUUUACGUAAAAAUACGUAAAUGAAUUUAAGGGACGAUAAGACCCUAAAAGCUUUAUUAUUUAAAUUUUUGUUAUUAUUUAGAUUUUAUUGUUUAAUGUAUUUUAACUGGGGCGGUUGUUUUUUUAACAAAAAUUUUUUUUACAAAUAGGAUUAAAGAUCCUUAAAAUUAGGAUAGAUUGUUUAAGUUACUUUAGGGAUAACAGCGUUAUAAUAAUAGGGAGACCUUAUUUAUAUUGUUGAUUGCGACCUCGAUGUUGAAUUAAAUUUUUCUAUAUAAAGCAGAAAUUAUAUAUGAAAGUUUGUUCAACUUUUAAAUUUUUACAUGAUCUGAGUUCAAA
rnacentral:rRNA from 1 species